UGAUCCUGCCGGAGGUCACUGCUAUCAGUGUUNGANUAAGCCAUGCAAGUCAAAUGUUCUUCGUGAACAUGGCGGACUGCUCAGUAACACGUGGAUAACCUGCCCUUAGGAUUGGCAUAACACCGGGAAACUGGUGAUAAUACCGAAUAGACCAUUUAUGCUGGAAUGCUUUUUGGUUCAAAGGCUUCGGCUGCCUAAGGAUGGAUCUGCGGCCUAUCAGGUAGUAGUGGGUGUAAUGUACCUACUAGCNUACGACGGGUACGGGUUGUGAGAGCAAGAGCCCGGAGAUGGAUUCUGAGACAUGAAUCCAGGCCCUACGGGGCGCAGCAGGCGCGAAAACUUUACAAUGCGGGAAACCGCGAUAAGGGGACACUGAGUGCCAGCAUAUUAUGUUGGCUGUCCACAUGUAUAAAAACCAUGUGUUAGCAAGGGCCGGGCAAGACCGGUGCCAGCCGCCGCGGUAACACCGGCGGCCCGAGUGGUGAUCACUUUUAUUGGGUCUAAAGGGUCCGUAGCCGGUUUGAUCAGUCUUCUGGGAAAUCUGACAGCUCAACUGUUAGGCUUUCAGGGGAUACUGUUAAACUUGGGACCGGGAGAGGUAAGAGGUACUACAGGGGUAGGAGUGAAAUCUUGUAAUCCCUGUGGGACCACCAGUGGCGAAGGCGUCUUACCAGAACGGGUCCGACGGUGAGGGACGAAAGCUGGGGGCACGAACCGGAUUAGAUACCCGGGUAGUCCCAGCCGUAAACGAUGUUCGCUAGGUGUCAGGGACGGUGCGACCGUUUCUGGUGCCGUAGGGAAGCCGUGAAGCGAACCACCUGGGAAGUACGGCCGCAAGGCUGAAACUUAAAGGAAUUGGCGGG
rnacentral:rRNA from 1 species